GUGUCUCCUCCCCCUGGGGUGAGUCCAGCAGCAGCCUCCUCUUUCCUGACUGUCACAUUUCUUUUCCAGCUCUGACCGGGAGUCAGCUCCUCGGGGAUACCAUCCCCCGACCUCACCUUCCACCUGCCGCAGCCUGCUAGCCUUUCCGGGAGAAAAGGCAUCCUUACCUCUGGUUGAAGGUCUCGGGGCCUCCCCCUCUGCAUCCGGACCCUCUCCCCAUCCCAGCCUCCCAUGCCAAGGCCCGCCUUGUCAGUCACUUCCUUUUGUCAUCGGCUUGGCAAACGGGAGAGAAAACAGAGCUUCAUGGGAAACAGCGGCAACAGUUGGUCCCAUACACCUUUCCCCAAGUUGGAGCUGGGCCUGGGGCCCCAGCCCAUGGCGCCCCGGGAGCUCCCUACCUGCUCCAUCUGCCUGGAGAGGUUGCGCGACCCCAUCUCACUGGACUGUGGCCACGACUUCUGCAUACGGUGCUUCAGCACACACCGUCUCCCGGGCUGUGAGCCGCCCUGCUGUCCUGAGUGCCGGAAGAUAUGCAAGCAGAAGAGGGGCCUCCGGAGCCUGGGCGAGAAGAUGAAGCUCCUGCCGCAGCGGCCGCUGCCCCCUGCACUGCAGGAGACGUGUCCUGUGAGGGCGGAGCCGCUGCUGCUGGUUCGCGUCAAUGCCUCUGGGGGCCUCAUCCUUAGGAUGGGGGCCAUCAACCGCUGCCUGAAGCACCCUCUGGCCAGGGACACCCCAGUCUGCCUCCUCGCUGUCCUGGGGGAGCAGCACUCAGGGAAGUCCUUCCUCCUCAACCAUUUGCUUCAGGGCUUGCCGGGCCUGGUGAGGGCGGGGCGGGGCAGGAGGGAGGCGGGGAGCAAGGAUGGGGGUUCCUGCCUGGGGGAAGCUGGGUCUGGUAUUCCGGUCUGUGGGGACAAGGAACCGACCAACUGAUGCUCUCCCUUCUCUCCCCUGCAGGAGUCUGGUGAGGGCGGCCGGCCAAGAGGAGGAGAGGCAUCCCUGCAGGGCUGCAGAUGGGGCGCCAAUGGCCUCGCCAGGGGCAUAUGGAUGUGGAGCCACCCCUUCUUGCUGGGGAAAGAAGGGAAG
rnacentral:sRNA from 1 species